ACGGAGGGUGCAAGCGUUAAUCGGAAUUACUGGGCGUAAAGCGCACGCAGGCGGUUGGAUAAGUCGGAUGUGAAAUCCCCGGGCUUAACCUGGGAACUGCAUUCGAUACUGUCUGGCUAGAGUAUGGCAGAGGGAAGCGGAAUUUCAGGUGUAGCGGUGAAAUGCGUAGAUAUGUGGAGGAACACCGAUGGCGAAGGCAGCUUCCUGGGCCAAUACUGACGCUCAGGCGCGAAAGCGUGGGGAUCAAACAG
rnacentral:rRNA from 1 species